rnacentral:rRNA from 1 species
CCUGGUUGAUCCUGCCAGUAGUCAUAUGCUUGUCUCAAAGAUUAAGCCAUGCAUGUUUAAGUAUAGAGAUUUUUAUACCUUGAAACUGCGGACGGCUCAUUAAAUCAGUUAUAAUCUACUUGAUCGUAUUUUCUACAUGGAUAACUGUAGUAAUUCUAGAGCUAAUACAUGCAAAAAGACUCGACUGCCUUGUGCGGAAGAGUUGUAUUUAUUAGGUACAAAAUCAAUAUCAACUUGAUGAUUCAUAAUAACUAAACGAAGCGCAGAGUCCUCGCGACGGCGCUGAUACAAACGAGUUUCUGCCCUAUCAACUUUCGAUGGUAGUAUAGGGGACUACCAUGGUGUUAACGGGUAACGGGGAAUUAGGGUUCUAUUCCGGAGAGGGGGCCUGAGAAAUGGCCACCACUUCCAAGGAAGGCAGCAGGCGCGCAAAUUACCCAAUCUCAAUUCGAGGAGGUAGUGACAAGAAAUACCGUUGAAGGACACUACGUGUACUUCAUUCGGAAUGAGAACAACCUAAACACCUUAACGAGGAUCAAUUGGAGGGCAAGUCUGGUGCCAGCAGCCGCGGUAAUUCCAGCUCCAAUAGUGUAUAUUAUUGUUGCUGUAGUUAAAAAGCUCGUAGUUGGAUUUCGAAAUGCGACUGUCAAAGCCCGUCCAAGUGGCGUGGCUCGACUGGUUGCUUUCUGUCUUUGGGUAAUGGGCGUAGCUUCGGUUGCGUUUUCCGUUCCCAAUUGUUUACUUUGAAAAAAUUAGCGCGUUCAAAGCAGGUGUAACUUUGCCUUGAAUAGUUUAGCAUGGGAUAAUAGAAUAGGACCACCGGCCUUAUUUUAUUGGUUUCUAAAGCUGGGGUAAUGAUUAAUAGGGACAGUUGGGGUCGGUCGUAUUGAAUCGUCAGAGGUGAAAUUCUAUGAUUGAUUCAAGACGAACUGGUGCGAAAGCGUCCGACAAGGAUGUUUCCGUUAAUCAAGAACGAAAGUUGGGGGAUCGAAGAUGAUCAGAUACCGUCGUAGUCCUAACCAUAAACUAUGUGGACCAAGGAUCCGAGGAUGUUCCAUGGAUGACUCUCCGGGCACUUUGUGAGAAAUCAGAGUAUUUGCAUUCCGGGGGGAGUAUGGCCGCAAGACUGAAACUUAAAGGAAUUGACGGAAGGGCACCACCAGGAGUGGAAUCUGCGGCUUAAUUUGACACAACACGGGGAAACUCACCAGGUCCGGACACAGUAAGGAUUGACAGAUUGAGAGCUCUUUCUUGAUUCUGUGGGUGGUGGUGCAUGGCCGUUUUUAGUUGGUGGAUUGAUUUGUCUUGUUAAUUCAGAUAACGAGCGAGACCUCAUCCUGCUAAUUAGUGAUGUGAAUUUGGUUCCUCGCAAGGGGUUCCUAUCUGAUUCGUAGACUACUUCUUAGAGGGACUCUCGGCACUG